GCCUAUAUAUAAAGAGAAAGGCAUCCGUUCGGAGAGACCGAGCAUGGAGAGGCAGGCCAAGAGAAAUUUCGGAUCUUAAGUGGCAGAGUUCUGCUUCAUGAUCUCCUUCUUCCCUUCUCUUCUCUUCUCUUCCCUUGUCUCCUUUCCUAAUCCUUUCACCUUCUUCCACAAAAACCUCUCUUCUCUUCUUAAUCUUCCACAAUCUGCCUUCAUCAUAGCAGACAUCUUCACGAGG
rnacentral:lncRNA from 1 species